rnacentral:rRNA from 1 species
GACGAAGGGGGCUAGCGUUGUUCGGAAUUACUGGGCGUAAAGCGCGUGUAGGCGGUUGUCCAAGUUGGAUGUGAAAGCCUUGAGCUCAACUCAAGAAAUGCAUUCAGGACUGGGCGACUAGAGGACCGGAGAGGAUAGUGGAAUUCCCAGUGUAGUGGUGAAAUGCGUAGAUAUCGGGAGGAACACCAGUGGCGAAGGCGGCUACCUGGCCCACUCUUGACGCUGAGGCGCGAAAGCUAGGGGAGCAAACGGG